rnacentral:rRNA from 1 species
AGGCAGCAGUGAGGAAUAUUGGUCGAAUGGGCGCGAGCCUGGAACCAAGCCAAGUCGCGUGAGGGAGGACGGCCCUACGGGUUGGUAAAACCUCUUUUGUCCGGGGAGCAACGGGCGUCACGUGUGGCGCCACUGAGAGUACCCGAAGAAAAAGCAUCGGCUAACUCCGUGCC